CAGCGGCUGCACCUGAAAACAUGGCUGAGGGAACUCCCUCAAACUGGCAGUUCUCAACAUUGCAAAAGGCCAUUCCGUCAGUGCUUAUGCUCACUCCAUUCCCAACACGGUGACCAGUUUAACUCUGCAGCAGGUGAUGGUGGAGCAGAUGGACAUGAAGGCUCUAGGGAAACAGGCUUCAGGCCUCUUGUAUCUGCACUUUGAUCCAUGCAGCUAUAACAGCAGCAGCAGCAUCGGAGAGAUCCCCAAACUAUUCCCCCAGCUCAUGACCCUUAAAAUGAGACACUAUAAUGUACCAGAGAGGGAGUUCUUGAGCCUCCAACAGUUGAAGCAUUUGGAGCAGUUGGAGAUCCUUGAUGCACACAGUCUUAGUCCGCACCUUCUGCAGCUGAUCCGCAAGCUGCAGGUCCUGACCAACCACAGAACCCAAAUCAUCCAUUCUCUGGGCCCGAGAGAUCCCACAACCUGCUACUGUACUCACUACUAACAUUACGACUAAGAGGAAGUGAACACUGGUAGACUGUAGCCCAUGUUUUCAACAGCACAUGUUUAACAUUUGAAAUUAUACAAAACUGCUUGCUCAUCAUUUGAGGUACGUUUGCGAUGCCAACUUGGCUGAUGCAAAAUAAGGAAACAGCUGAAAUUAUGAGGACGUUUAGUAAGUCAAUACCUCUGAGGUCAGUAGUCAGACUCUUUGUAUAGAGCAAAACAACAAACAGUUCAAAACACAGGAACAGCCAUUUUAUGCCAAAGCUCAGGUUGCCCAGCCCGGCGGAGAUACAAUCUUCGGCAAAAUCAUUCGCAAGCAGAUUCCUGCAAAAAUAUUAUUUGAAGAUGAAGAUGCCCCUUGACGACAUCCACAUUUUCUUUGUUACAUUCUUAUUAUAAAAUUGAUUACAUUGUUUUUUCUUCACAAAGUAACUAUAAAACACAUGAUGAAAAUUUAACAGUGAGUAAAACUAUAAAAUGCAUCAAUCUGAGCAACAGCAAGGGCAAUAUUCAGUAAACACCGAACAUACAGUUGAAGUCGGAAGUGUACAUACACUUAUGUUGGAGUCAUUAAAACUUGUUUUUCAACCA